UCUCAACAGAGGAUGAAAAGAGAUGAAUUUAAUGACACGAUUUCCCUUUUCUACUUGAAAAUUAAAUGCUGCACUCCUGUCCAAAAACUGUUGGAAAGUGUCAGAAGAGGCAAUUCUUCCCCAUGAAAUGCUUCACCUCAGCCAAAGAAGAAAGAAGCCACAAGCCAAGACUCUUCUUUAUUGCUACAUUGUUUGAUUUGGUCACUUCUCUAAUAGGAAUUCCUUUGGGGUUUUAUUUGUUUGUUUCUAUCUUUCGUUCCGCGGGGCUCGCGGCGGCUCCUCCGUUGGGUUCGCGGAGGCAACGGAGGAACGUUCGCGAGCUGCGGCGGUUCCGCAGCAGCAGCAGCAGCAGCAGCAGCAGCAGCAGCAGCAGCAGCAGCAGCAGCAGCAGCAGCAGCAGCAGCAGCGCUUCUCUCGAUCGGUUUUCCGCUCGACUUUCCACUCGCUUCCCAUCCCCUUCUCCCUCUCACACUCACUCCACUCCCGUCCCGUCCCGUCCGUGUCCCGCCUCUCCCAGCCCGGCUGAUGCCGCGUCCCGCAAGGGGCCCCUCGGCGGGGCCGCCCCGUGCCCGCCCCUGCCCGUCCCGCCGCGGAGCCGCCUCCGCCGGGCUCUCUCCGUACUGGCUGUGGCGCCGCUGGAAGUGCCGCUCGCUCUGGUGCUGGCGGAGCAGCGCGGUCUUUUGGCUCCGCCUGGCGCGGGCUCUGGCCCGGCCCCGGCCGAGGCCGCGGCCCCGAGCGAAGCCCCUGCCGCGGUUCCGCCCGCAGCCGCCCCGCUGCCGCCCCGCGCCCGCCCCGUCGCCGACAGCGUCGCCGGCGGCUUCCCCGCUCCGAGCUCCGCCGCUCGUCAGCUCGGCCGCCGGCCCCGAGCCGCCGCAGCCCGGGGCGGCUCGGCAAGCAGCAGCGCGCCGGGCGCUCGGGUUGCCGGGGCAGAAGAGCGGGAGCGCGGUGCCGCCCGCACGGGCGGAGAAGCCUCCCCUGGAGCAGCUCUACCGGGAGGGCCCGCUGCUGGGGAGCGGCGGCUGCGGCAGCGUUUACUCCGGGACCCGGCUCGCCGACGGCGCCCCGGUGGCCAUCAAGCGAGUGUGCCGCGAUCGCAUCCCGGAGUGGGCGCGGCUGCACAACGGCGCCCUGGUGCCCCUGGAGCUGGCGCUGCUGUGGAUGGUGUCGUGCCCUGGCUUCCGCGGCGUCGUGCGGCUCCUGGACUGGUUCGAGCUGCCCGACGGCUUCGCGCUGGUCAUGGAGCGUCCGCAGCGCUGUCAGGACCUCUGGGACUUCCUGCACGAGCGGGGGUUCCUGACGGAGCCCGUGGCGCGGGGGCUGUUCCGCCAGGUGCUGGAGGCCGUGCGGCACUGCACCAGCCGCGGCGUCCUGCACCGCGACAUCAAGGCCGAGAACGUCCUCGUCGACCUGGCCACGGGCGAGGCGAAGCUCAUCGACUUCGGCUGCGGCACGAUCCUCCAGGACACGUUCUACACCCGGAUGUCAGGAACGCCGGAGUACAGCCCACCGGAGUGGAUCCUCUUUGGCUGCUACCAUGGCCAGCCAGCCACCAUCUGGUCCCUGGGCAUCCUGCUCUAUCACCUGGUCUGCGGGCACCUUCCUUUCCACACAAACGAGGACAUCGUCUGGGGCCAGCUCUUCUUCCCGCCCCGGGUGUCUCAAGUGCCAGCACCUCAUCAGGUGGUGUUUAUCCAUGGACCCGGCAGACAGGCCAUCACUGGAAGACCUUUUUGAGCAUUCUUGGCUGCAGGAGCCCUGCCUGGCCCAGGAGACAGCAGAGAUCCAUCCCUGUGCUCAGUAGGAUCCAGGAGCCCAGCAAGUACCAGCUGCACGCGUCUGGUGGCACUCCAAGAAAACCCCGGAGCGUUUCCCUGCGGCCACAGCACGGAGGAGAGAGCGCAGCCGAGGAGAUGCUUCCGCUGGUCCCCGGCGAGUUGUGGAGGGAGCGGCUCAGUGCUCCCCGUGCCAUUGGAGAAGUGGUGGCAGUGCGGUGAAGGUGCCACGGACUGGAACAGGGGAAACAUCCCCCUGCAGCUCAAUGGCAUCGGGAUGUCCCCGCAAGCCGAGGCACAGCUGGCGUGUUUUUCUGGAGCACCACGUGGAGCUGGGAACACCAUCCUGGAGCUGGUCGCUGGCGGGGCAAAGCCGAUCGGCUUUGGCUGCGGCCCCUUCCUGGAGGAUACGCUCUGCGCCCCGAUGAAAUCAAGAUGAGUCCCCAGCCGGCGCAGGGGCGGGGGGAUGCUCGUGCUUCCAGGCAUGGCAGGGCUUGGCCUGGCCACGCGCCGCAGGUUCCCCGCUCGGCGGCGCUGGGGAAUAUUAAUUUUUCCCCCGGCUGCCGAGCUGCUUUUUGGUGGGACAGGGGACGGAUGUUGUGGAAGGGGAGCCGGCUCCUGGCCUUGCUGACAGCUUCUGCCAGCCAGCCUGGCACAGGCUGGGGCGGGGUCAGCCAGCCUGACAAAGCAUCCAUCCAUGUGGAUGGGGGCAGCAGAGGGGGACGGGUUCUGAAGCUGUGCCCCAGCUGGUCUGCUUUGCAGGCCCUCGAGGAAGGGGUGCGUUUACGGGCGGGAAAGGUGGGGUUUUUCCCCACCCAUGGACAGGUUUCAUUCUCGCAUGGAGUGGUCAGACUCUCCUCAGGCCUGUGAAACGGUGACAGGCUGUGUAGGUUUUUCUUGUUUCCAGGUCUUGUUUUGCAUUGACUUUCAUGCAAUUGUUCUUUGUUUUUCCCAGGAAGAUUACACCUGGUGCCCAUACUGGACGGGGAAGCGCCUGCACCGUCCGUGGAGCACAUCCAGUGCCAGCGCUACCCCAGGGGCCACGGCCUGCAGGGACAUCCCCUUCAAGAAGGACGAGGACCUUGUGUGGGAUCGGCUCCUCUCCUGGCAGCAGGUCUGCAGAGGCUGCCAGCACCUCAUGCCAUGGAAACGGCUCCGCUCGGCAUGCCAGGCUGGGAGGGCUGGAGGGCGGCGGGUGUUCAUUUGCUGUCAGAAAUAAAUCGUUCUAUUUUUUUGUCA